UCACAGAUUUUUGCUAGCAUGAGCGGCGGGUUCGGCGGCCGCGGUUGGCUGGCGCUGCCGUGCUGUCUAGUGAGCUCCUCUGACCGGCGCCAUGGGAGCAGCUGCGCCGGUGGCUCUCGUGCACAGCGCGUGCAUCUGUAACCUUCUAAAGUCCUCCUUCGCGAACUGCAUCGCAUCGCCGGCCGGAGCGCCGGCCAUCUGGCCGUUCCCCUUUGCGGUGUGGUACGCCGUCUCCGCCGCAGCUGCAAUCUCCUCCGGCGCCAGAGCUGUUAAGCGGCGUUUCCUCAUCCAGCAGCAGCGACGACGGCUCCUAUCCAUCUACCAAAGAAAGGAGCAUUAUCUUAUCCAGCGCCAGCAUUUGUACGAACAGUGUACUUCAGAGACGAUGGUGGAGGAGCCAUCAAGGAGAUUGCUGGGCAGAUGCAGCUACGAAAUUACUUGUUUCAGUAUUUUGUUUAGCGAUUACAUUGUCCAAUUUUCUAUUAUUUGUGAGACCGGAUAUGAAUUGCUAGGCUAUCUAAGAAAUACAUGUUAUAGUAAUUGAGAAAAUGAUCUUUGUUCCUUAAUGGUUCUGUAACUUUAGAACCACCUCCCUGAUGCAUAUACAUAUAUAACUGAUAUUGAUUUUGUGAAAUCAGUUGUGAGCCCUUACCCCCAAUAUUUUUGUUUGCCUGUAAACGCAGAGAGAAGUACCUUGCGACAAAUAAAAUAUUUCAGAGACAACUAUUGAAAACCAUUUAAAAAAGAUAAGGCUGCUAUGUCUUCAACACAUUAUAUUUAGUCAUAUAAGAAUGGUUGUACCUGUUCUAAUUCUAGUUAUUAAAAAACAAAUAUAUAUAAUAUAUCCUUGAAAACAAUGUUUUUUGCAAUCUUGUCGGAUCGACGCUCUUCAUCUGAUAUGAGUAUCCGCAAUCCUUUCUGCUGGUAACCCUUGACAUUGCAACAUAGAGCUGUGUGAACACUUGCCUUUCUAAGUAGAGUCCAACCUUUUUGAGAGAUUGCCCCUGACUUUUGUUUAUAGUCAUAGCAAAGCACACUGAUAUUGGGUAUUGUCUCCUUUUCAGAAUGAAAGGCCAUUCUGAAUCACUUGGUGACAUAUAACCGCUUGUUGGUUGUGCAUACUAAAUCCUGCCUAUGGUUUUUUUCCCACCACAUCUUUUCCUCCAUUCUUUCUAUUUUGUAUGCCAAAUCUAUUUGGUUGGAAACUGUGCAUACGUCAAACUGCGAGCUUCGUCAUGCAAUUGGUUGACUGUCAUCCUUCCGUGAACAUUGUCUUUUCUAUGUUAGGGUGAGAUACAAUUUUAUCUAAAUCCACCGAGUCCGGGAAUACCAUAACAUGUUCAUUCUCUAGGUGAAAUUGUAACCUUUCAACCACAGGCUCUCUAUACUGAAGAGGAAACUGAAAUAUGUGCCAUGAGGCUUCACAUCAGGAUAUGUACCAAGCAUCAAGACAUCAUCCCAAGCACACUAUACGAAGUACGGACAGGACACACGAUGUGAUCGGCUCUCCGGCGCCGGCGCAGCACGUGAACUCAAACCGAGUUUGGGGUGUGAAUCUUGCAUGCUGCCAAUCCAUUAUAGUUCCUGGAAUCUGCCGUGACCUAGGUCCGUUGCUGGCUGCUUGCCUGGAUAUGUGCCUCCCAGCCUGCAGUCAACGAUGUCAUGUGUAAGAUUUGGAUUGUGGGUCGUACUUUUUCAUUGAUAAUUGUAGCGAGCACUGAUGAAUCUUGAUGUCAAGGACAGCUAAAAGAUGGCACACGUAGAUGGAAAGAAAGAUGAACACUGGCGCUAGGGCUCAGCUCAACAAAACGCCAAUGGGAAAGAAGAGUUUGGUAGUAUAACAGGAGAAUAAAGGCUACAUGUUACUUUCGUGCGGAUUGCGGCCAGCAGCGACUGCUGACGAACGUGCACUCUGAAACCUUGCCAACGACGACAAUCGCCGAGGCUGCUUCGAACUGCUAUCCGUGCACCACCUCUGCUGCAUCAAAAACCAUGAGAUUGAUUUAUUUAUUGGGCUGAACGGUUUUAGGAUUGUAAUAUACUGUAGUUAUAACCUGAAAUCCAUGAAAAUUGAAAGUUUGGGGA